UACGGGGGGGGCAAGCGUUGUUCGGAAUUACUGGGCGUAAAGGGUUCGUAGGUGGCCAACUAAGUCAUACGUGAAAUCCCUCAGCUUAACUGGGGAACUGCGUCUGAUACUGGUUGGCUUGAGUGCAGGAGAGGAACGCGGAAUUCCAGGUGGAGCGGUAAAAUGCGUUGAUAUUCACAGGAACUCCGGUGGCGAAGGCGGCUCGCUGGAUCUUUUCUGACGCUGAGGCGCGAAAGCUAGGGGAGCAAACGGG
rnacentral:rRNA from 1 species